GACGAACGCUGGCGGCGUGCUUAACACAUGCAAGUCGAACGAUGAACCACUUCGGUGGGGAUUAGUGGCGAACGGGUGAGUAACACGUGGGCAAUCUGCCCUUCACUCUGGGACAAGCCCUGGAAACGGGGUCUAAUACCGGAUAACACUGCCACGGGCAUCUGUGGUGGUUAAAAGCUCCGGCGGUGAAGGAUGAGCCCGCGGCCUAUCAGCUUGUUGGUGAGGUAAUGGCNCACCAAGGCGACGACGGGUAGCCGGCCUGAGAGGGCGACCGGCCACACUGGGACUGAGACACGGCCCAGACUCCUACGGGAGGCAGCAGUGGGGAAUAUUGCACAAUGGGCGAAAGCCUGAUGCAGCGACGCCGCGUGAGGGAUGAC
rnacentral:rRNA from 1 species